CUUGGCCCUUAUAGCCGCCGUGUUCCGGCAGGCGAAAACCCUAGCUAAUUGCUUCAGAUCUGAGUGAAUUAACCACCAAAUUUCCCAACAAUUUCCUUGUGUUCGUUCGAUUUCUUGCAAAUUCAGAGACAGCUACUACUAGGGCUUGUCACGCGCUACCAGCAUUCCCCCGCGCUGUCGUCCCGAUCCGGCGCCGUCGUCCCAUGCUGCUACCAGUCCAUAACCGUCCGCCAUGGGCCAUGGCCGAGCUCCCGGCCUCCCUCCGGCCUCCAUCGUCUUGCGCGCGAGCCGGGAGCCCAACCUCCGCUGCGCCCCGAGCGUCGUCCGCUCCAGGACGAGGCCGCCGUGUUGUUGCGGUCCUACCGGCUGCUAGACUAACCAUGUGUGAUUCAACGGUUGAGAAAAUGGAAAUAGAACUUCUGACUAAAGUUGGGGGUGUAAUGUUUGGACAUUAUGUUACGCAAAAAUGAAAACCCUUUGCAUAGAAAGAGGUACUUGAGGUGAGAGGAAACACAACAGAAUCUGCUACAGUUGAAUAAGGUGAGCACAUGAGGUAGGGCGCCAGGAAAUGGUGGAGGAAUGGAGCUACAACGCAGCACAGCUACGACGGCGAAGCUUCAGGAGGAAAAAGGAUUAUGUAGGAACGGAGGAUCAGGAGAUAGAUGCCAACUUGUCUUCUAGCAGGGUGAGGAUGGAAUGCGCAGUAGUUUCCAAAGAGAAGGAAAUAGGAAA